rnacentral:rRNA from 1 species
AUUGAACGCUGGCGGCAUGCCUUACACAUGCAAGUCGAACGGCAGCACGGGAGCAAUCCUGGUGGCGAGUGGCGAACGGGUGAGUAAUAUAUCGGAACGUGCCCAGUCGUGGGGAUAACGUAGCGAAAGCUACGCUAAUACCGCAUACGAUCUAUGGAUGAAAGCGGGGGAUCGCAAGACCUCGCGCGAUUGGAGCGGCCGAUAUCAGAUUAGGUAGUUGGUGAGGUAAAGGCUCACCAAGCCGACGAUCUGUAGCUGGUCUGAGAGGACGACCAGCCACACUGGGACUGAGACACGGGCCCAGACUCCUACGGGAGGCAGCAGUGGGGAAUUUUGGACAAUGGGCGCAAGCCUGAUCCAGCAAUGCCGCGUGCAGGAUGAAGGCCUUCGGGUUGUAAC